rnacentral:rRNA from 1 species
CGGGUGAGUAAUGUAUCGGAACGUGCCCAGUAGUGGGGGAGUAACUACUCGAAAGAGUAGCUAAUACCGCAUGAGAACUGAGGUUGAAAGCGGGGGACCUUCGGGCCUCGCGCUACUGGAGCGGCUGAUAUCAGAUUAGGUAGUUGGUGGGGUAAAGGCUUACCAAGCCUGCGAUCUGUAGCUGGUCUGAGAGGACGACCAGCCACACUGGGACUGAGACACGGCCCAG